rnacentral:rRNA from 1 species
UACAGAGGGUGCGAGCGUUAAUCGGAAUUACUGGGCGUAAAGCGCAUGUAGGCGGCCUAGCAGGUCGGAUGUGAAAUCCCUCGGCUCAACCAAGGAAGUGCAUUCGAAACCGCAAGGCUGGAGUCCCGGAGAGGAUGGUGGAAUUCUCGGUGUAGAGGUGAAAUUCGUAGAUAUCGAGAGGAACACCGGCGGCGAAGGCGGCCAUCUGGACGAGGACUGACGCUGAGAUGCGAAAGCGUGGGGAGCAAACAGG